rnacentral:rRNA from 1 species
CCUGGCUCAGGACGAACGCUGGCGGCGCGCCUAACACAUGCAAGUCGAACGAGCGAGAGAGAGCUUGCUUUCUCAAGCGAGUGGCGAACGGGUGAGUAACGCGUGAGGAACCUGCCUCAAAGAGGGGGACAACAGUUGGAAACGACUGCUAAUACCGCAUAAGCCCACGGCUCGGCAUCGAGCAGAGGGAAAAGGAGCAAUCCGCUUUGAGAUGGCCUCGCGUCCGAUUAGCUAGUUGGUGAGGUAACGGCCCACCAAGGCGACGAUCGGUAGCCGGACUGAGAGGUUGAACGGCCACAUUGGGACUGAGACACGGCCCAGACUCCUACGGGAGGCAGCAGUGGGGAAUAUUGCACAAUGGGGGAAACCCUGAUGCAGCGACGCCGCGUGGAGGAAGAAGGUCUUCGGAUUGUAAACUCCUGUUGUUGAGGAAGAUAAUGACGGUACUCAACAAGGAAGUGACGGCUAACUACGUGCCAGCAGCCGCGGUAAAACGUAGGUCACAAGCGUUGUCCGGAAUUACUGGGUGUAAAGGGAGCGCAGGCGGGAAGACAAGUUGGAAGUGAAAUCCAUGGGCUCAACCCAUGAACUGCUUUCAAAACUGUUUUUCUUGAGUAGUGCAGAGGUAGGCAGAAUUCCCGGUGUAGCGGUGGAAUGCGUAGAUAUCGGGAGGAACACCAGUGGCGAAGGCGGCCUACUGGGCACCAACUGACGCUGAGGCUCGAAAGUGUGGGUAGCAAACAGGAUUAGAUACCCUGGUAGUCCACACUGUAAACGAUGAUUACUAGGUGUUGGAGGAUUGACCCCUUCAGUGCCGCAGUUAACACAAUAAGUAAUCCACCUGGGGAGUACGACCGCAAGGUUGAAACUCAAAGGAAUUGACGGGGGCCCGCACAAGCAGUGGAGUAUGUGGUUUAAUUCGACGCAACGCGAAGAACCUUACCAAGUCUUGACAUCCCUUGACGAUGCUGGAAACAGUAUUUCUCUUCGGAGCAAGGAGACAGGUGGUGCAUGGUUGUCGUCAGCUCGUGUCGUGAGAUGUUGGGUUAAGUCCCGCAACGAGCGCAACCCUUAUGGUCAGUUACUACGCAAGAGGACUCUGGCCAGACUGCCGUUGACAAAACGGAGGAAGGUGGGGAUGACGUCAAAUCAUCAUGCCCUUUAUGACUUGGGCUACACACGUACUACAAUGGCGUUAAACAAAGAGAAGCAAGACCGCGAGGUGGAGCAAAACUCAGAAACAACGUCCCAGUUCGGACUGCAGGCUGCAACUCGCCUGCACGAAGUCGGAAUUGCUAGUAAUCGCAGAUCAGCAUGCUGCGGUGAAUACGUUCCCGGGCCUUGUACACACCGCCC